GGAGAUAGUGCACAGUAGUAAUUCCUAUGGCAGACAACCUGAGGCCAUUGGAUUUCUGUAGCUCAGGAGUUCUGAGUUGCAGUGGGCUAAGCUGAUGAUUGGAUAUCCAUACUAAGUUCAGCACCAAUAUAGUGAGCUCCCAGAAUCAAGGGAUCACCAGAUUGACUAAGGAGGAGCAAACUGGCCCAGGUCAGAAAUGGAGCAGGUCAAAAUUUCCAUACUAAUCAAAGUGGGAUUAUAGCAUAUCAGAGUAAUCUCUGCAUUUCCAGCGUGUGUGAGAAAAGGAGACCUAGUCUUAA
ensembl:misc_RNA Metazoa_SRP Metazoan signal recognition particle RNA